UUCCUUUUACAAUACUCACAGUGGAAUGAAACAAGUUGUUUUGGCUGUGGGUUAGCUUUGGAUUGAGGGUUAACUUUCAGUUGUGGGUUAGCUUUGGGUUGAGUGUUCAUUCUUGGUUGUGGUCUGGCUUGGGGUUUUGGUGGAGGUUGCUUCAAAGGCAUAUCAGGGAGUGUGUCAAGCUUGUUUCUGAGGUGAUUGGGUUUUUCCACCCAGAUGGCUUUCUUUGGGACUUUGGGUAGUGUCUCAAUGAACACUCCAUCUCGAACACACUCAGAGAGGUUUUUCUCACAUUUUGCGCUGGGUUGCUCUUCACUCAGUUUAAAUGGAUCACUAGGGGUGGAGGUUACUUUCUCUCUCUCACCACUUUAUUGAUCAAUCUUCUCAUCCAACCCAUCAAAAAUCUUUUCAUACUACCCAUCAAAUCUACACUUCUUGAUAAUAUUCCCAAGCCCAAAACCAUCAACCCUUUUAAACUCCUGAAUCAUCAUACCUAACUGAGGUUCCCUACUUGACACCUAACUGAGAAUUGUGCGCAAGUAGUGAUUUUCAUCCUCAGUAUUUCGCAAAGAACAACUAAGUUCAAGACACUUUGUGCAUUCAGGAACUUUAGAUUUAGCAAUUAAAUAAGAUGUCUCAAGAGCUUUAAUCUUAGCACAUGCAUCAUCAAAUUGAAUCUGUAGAGCAGGGCAAGAUUUGCAAGCACCAAGUAAAAUAGGUCUAGUCUUAACUUCAUCUGGAGCAGCCCUAGUCAAAUCAAGUUCAU
rnacentral:lncRNA from 1 species